GAUGAACGCUGGCGGCAUGCCUAAUACAUGCAAGUCGAACGAGCUCUUCGGAGCUAGUGGCGGACGGGUGAGUAACACGUUGGUACCUACCCCGAAGUGGGGAAUAACUGCCCGAAAGGGUGGCUAAUACCGCAUAAUACCGUAAGGUUAAAGCAGUAAUGCGCUUCGGGAGGGGCCUGCGUCCCAUUAGCUAGUUGGCGGGGUAAAUGCCCACCAAGGCGACGAUGGGUAGCUGGAUCGAGAGGUUGACCAGCCACACUGGGACUGAGAUACGGCCCAGACUCCUACGGGAGGCAGCAGUAAGGAAUCUUCCACAAUGGACGAAAGUCCGAUGGAGCAAUGCCGCGUGCAGGAUGACGGCCUUCGGGUUGUAAACUGCUUUUAUAUGGGAAGAUUAUGACGGUACCAUAUGAAUAAGGACCGGCUAAUUACGUGCCAGCAGCCGCAGUAA
rnacentral:rRNA from 1 species